rnacentral:tRNA from 1 species
UUCAAUUUGACAGAAAAAUGUGAUAAAUUUAGAAUUUAUUUAUGAUAAACAAAUCAAUUGAAA